GUUUAUAUAGUUUAAAAAAAACAUUUUAAUUUCAUUAAAAAAUUAAUAAUUUUAUUUAUAAAUU
rnacentral:tRNA from 2 species